UACGUAGGGGGCGAGCGUUGUCCGGAAUCAUUGGGCGUAAAGAGCGUGUAGGCGGCUUGGCAAGUCUGACGUGAAAGCCCGCGGCUCAACCGCGGAUUGUCGUUGGAAACUGCCUCGCUAGAGUCCGGAAGAGGAGAGCGGAAUUCCUGGUGUAGCGGUGGAAUGCGCAGAUAUCAGGAAGAACACCCGUGGCGAAGGCGGCUCUCUGGGACGGUACUGACGCUGAGACGCGAAAGCGUCGGGAGCGAACAGG
rnacentral:rRNA from 1 species